CUUCAUGUGACCUGCUAUGGCUGUGAGGUUAUCUUGGCCUUUUGAUUUGUUAAAUAGAAACAUUAGAGUGAAGUUCUUAGCACAUUCUCAUCUGUUAUAAACAUGUCAUCUAAGGGCUGGUGGGAUGGCUCAGCAGGUAAAGGGGAUUGUUGCCAAGUCUGAUAACCCGAGUUCAAUCCCCAGGUUCCACGUGGAAGGAAAGACAAACUAUUGCAAGUUGUCCUCUGACCUCUGCACAUGUCCCAGGGUACAUGCACACACACAAAUAAAUAAUAAUAAAAGCACAUGUCGCAUAAGCUUACAGAUUACAAAUAACUGCUGUAGAUGAAGGACUCUAUUAUAUGUCAGUUAUUGGAACACGGGAUCAAGGAAUGCCGAAGGCAGGAGUCAGUUCAGAAAGCCAACAUACCUCCAGUGACUUGAUUGAAAAACAAAAAAAACUUAGUAUUUUGAAUUAAACGUUUUAAAAGUCAUUGAAGGAACAGGCUGGAGGCUGUGAUUCUUGGAAUGGUUUUCGGAACAAUAAGGAUUAUGGACUCUGAGGUCACUCUUGGAGUCAGGCCAGGCUGAGUUCUACUAAUACCCCAACACAUGGAGCAGUGACUCUGCUUGACACUUAGAAGUCAGAGGAGGGACCUGGAAAAGUUGCUGAAGAAAGCGUGAUCCUCCUGACCUCGCAAUGCAGGAGAGGCCAUAGGAAGAGACCAGGCCUCCGUGCCUGCCUGUCAACAGAGUUAUUCUGUGAAGGACCUGAGGGUACAUAUGUGUGCUUUCUGGAUCCCCCGGUCUCUGUGAUGGCUACGAAACCCCAUCAUUCUCGAACCUCUAUUGUGUGGCUACUUCCCUCCAGUUGAACUAUUCUGGGUUAGAGGACUAAAUAAUGGCUCCCGCUUCCAGAUGCAAGCAGACAUCCAGACCCGGUCCCUCACGCUCUCUGCCAGCUCUGGACCAUGAUGGCAACCGACCGAGCUCCAGCAUCCCAACUGUAAAAAGAGUCUAGGAAAUGCAAUCUGGGGGUUUCCAGUCAAGUACUGGAGACCGUUAAAGGGGGCCGGGCUCCUGCCAAUGACAACAUGUGCUUCUGCUGUUUCGUGUUCACAUGAGCACAGAAAACAUAUCAGGCAGAAUGAAAAGUGUAUGGCAGGGGACAGGGGUUUGCCCCAGCUCAAAGGCCACCUCUUGAAGAAUAGCUUUGGCUACAAAGAAGAUUCGUGGACUACCAUUCCCUAAUGACUGUCUGUCCUCCAUAAGGAGAGGAGAGGAACUCACCACACCUGUGUCUUGCAGGCCUUUGAAGGUGGCACUCACAUUCUCAGUUCACCCAAAAUGUUUCCCAUGCUACAGGGAUGGCAGUUCCAGGUCUUUCCAUGUGGCCAGUUCUCUAGGAAUUCACCAAGAAUGAGCAUUUUAGCUCAACUGUGUAUUCGGGAGCCAGGAAGGUCAUGGGCUGCUGCUGCCCACACUCAGAGGUGAGUCUCAAGAUCACAAUGGAUCACAGAUCCAAUCAAGGCUGCAGUGAAGACCGGCUGUCACACUUCCUCUUGGAGUGGGUUUUAUUUAGUCAAUCACAGAAAAAAAAAUCACGGUCAUCUAAAAAGUUAAGAAACCAAGGCUGUUAAGACAGCUCAGGGGGUGAAAGGACUUGUCACCAAGCCUGCAGACUAGAGUUCAAUACCUGGGAUCUACAAGGUGCAAAGAACCAACUCCAACAAGUGGUCCUCUGACCUCCGCAUGCACACCAUGGUAUAUGAGUACAUGUGUACCCACAGACAGACACACACAUUAAAAAGGGAAAGUAACCAAUCCAAGUUCACAUCACCUUCUCCUGACUUCCAUGGUUCAAGCCCAGGUCCAAGUCCUAAGCACAGGUGGCCCGGGCCAUGGUGGUGGUCUCCUCUCCUCCACAGAAUCAUCUGAAACUAGCGAGCAGGCAGCAUUACAGGUGGCUGACCCCACAAGAAGAAAUCCAUGCAUUUGCUGGAGGGAAGCAGGUGGUUCUGUCAGGUGCACGGGCAAGUGUGCCAAGAGGGCAGCUUGGCCAAAGCCGCACUUCCUGGAGUUGUAUAACUCGUGUGCCCAGCGUAUAGUGUCCCUUCAAGCGUAACAGGAUCAUCCUACUGCCAUCUUGGAGUAGAGAUGACCUUGGCCAGGAAGUCAUGUCAAGGCCAUGAACAGAAAAAUAUGGAGGUAUCAAGGCCCACAAUAACAGUAACGGAGUUGAUGGCCCUCCACCGCAAGAUGGCAGGGUAAGCUACAGGACAUCACAGGGAGGGGCAAGCGGUCAGCUAUUAGUUCUUCCUACACCAGCUACAAGGGAUCUGGGGAGAUACUAGAAUAUAUAAGAAGGAGAUUAACUAGACCCAGGACUUCAUGGGCCAGCUUCAAUGAGCCAUCACUCAUGACGGGGUAGGACUUUACAGUCACACAGCUGUUUGGGUCCCCUUACUCUUGCAAGUAAGCCCUCCUGUGG